UACAGAGGGGGCAAGCGUUAUUCGGAAUUAUUGGGCGUAAAGGGCGCGUAGGCGGCCUGGCAAGUGGAAGGUGAAAUCCCUCGGCUUAACCGAGGAACUGCCCUCCAAACUGCUUGGCUUGAGUCCGGGAGAGGUGAGUGGAAUUCCCAGUGUAGCGGUGAAAUGCGUAGAGACCCGGAGGAACACCGGUGGCGAAGGCGGCUUCCUGGUCUGCAACUGACGCUGUGGCGCGAAAGCUAGGGGAGCAAACGGG
rnacentral:rRNA from 1 species